rnacentral:lncRNA from 12 species
GCUGCUGCUCAGCUGGGACUGGAGAAACGCCAUGGAGACAUACAGUUUGUGACAGUACUGACAGUGUUUCAAGCAUCUGGAUAUCAGCCACAGCUCCUGAUAUGAAGUUUUAGACAAGUGAUGGGUCAAGGUACAUCUUGAGGAGACUACGGCAAACUAACAAAUUAUACCAU